rnacentral:rRNA from 1 species
GACAGAGGGGGCAAGCGUUGCUCGGAAUUACUGGGCGUAAAGGGCGCGUAGGCGGUUCAUACAGUCAGGCGUGAAAUUCCUGGGCUCAACCUGGGGGCUGCGCUUGAUACGUAUGGACUUGAGGACAGGAGAGGCUCGUGGAAUUCCCAGUGUAGAGGUGAAAUUCGUAGAUAUUGGGAAGAACACCGGUGGCGAAGGCGGCGAGCUGGCCUGUAACUGACGCUGAGGCGCGACAGCGUGGGGAGCAAACAGG